GCCGGUGUGGCUCAGUGGUUGAGCGUCGACCUAUGAAUCAGAAGGUCGUGGGUUCGAUUCCCGUCAGGGCA
rnacentral:tRNA from 1 species